rnacentral:rRNA from 1 species
UACGGAGGGUGCAAGCGUUAUCCGGAUUCACUGGGUUUAAAGGGUGCGUAGGCGGAUUGGUAAGUCCGUGGUGAAAUCUCUAAGCUUAACUUGGAAACUGCCAUGGAUACUAUUAGUCUUGAAUAUUGUGGAGGUUAGCGGAAUAUGUCAUGUAGCGGUGAAAUGCAUAGAUAUGACAUAGAACACCAAUUGCGAAGGCAGCUGGCUACACAAAUAUUGACGCUGAUGCACGAAAGCGUGGGGAUCAAACAGG